UACGUAGGGUGCGAGGCGUUGUCCGGAAUUAUUUGGGCGGUAAAGGGACUCGUAGGCGGUUUGUCGCGUCGGGAGUGAAAACACUGGGCCGUUAACUCAGUGCUUGCUUCCGAUACGGGCAGACUAGAGGUAUGCAGGGGAGAACGGAAUUCCUGGUGUAGCGGUGAAAUGCGCAGAUAUCAGGAGGAACACCGGUGGCGAAGGCGGGUCUCUGGGCCGUAACUGACGCUGAGGAGCGAAAGCGUGGGGAGCGAACAGG
rnacentral:rRNA from 1 species